rnacentral:rRNA from 1 species
AGCGAACGCUGGUGGCAGGCCUAACACAUGCGAGUCGAACGAACUCUUCGGAGUUAGUGGCGGACGGGUGAGUAACACGUGGGAACGUGCCUUUUGGUUCGGAAUAACUCAGGGAAACUUGUGCUAAUACCGAAUGUGCCCUUCGGGGGAAAGAUUUAUCGCCAUUAGAGCGGCCCGCGUCUGAUUAGCUAGUUGGUGAGGUAACGGCUCACCAAGGCGACGAUCAGUAGCUGGUCUGAGAGGAUGACCAGCCACACUGGGACUGAGACACGGCCCAGACUCCUACGGGAGGCAGCAGUGGGGAAUCUUGCGCAAUGGGCGAAAGCCUGACGCAGCCAUGCCGCGUGAAUGAUGAAGGUCUUAGGAUUGUAAAAUUCUUUCACCGGGGACGAUAAUGACGGUACCCGGAGAAGAAGCCCCGGCUAACUUCGUG